CUCUAUUUCAGGCCUAUCAGUCUAUCAAUUGUUUUUGUCACUGGCAAUCUUUGAAAUACAAUCUUGCUCUGUGGCCUUUACUGACAAGUUGGCUUUUACUACAUAUGUGGCACUGACACUUCUUUAAUUAAUGCACCAGUCAAUGUAAACCCCCCAACCGGGGAGGGGCAGGGAUUUUGACUUGGAGGGGUAGUAAAAGAGAAAAAUUGUCCCGCCCCCGGGGACAUCAAUGUCCCCUGCAUGUCUCUCAACCCCGGGAAAAUAGUUUUGUAUAAUCAUAGAUCAGCAAUAGAAAAUCAAAUUCAUUUAUGUUGUUGUAUUUAAACUUUUCUUGUCAAGAAAACUAAAACAGCAACACAGGAUAUAUAUAUAUAUUAACCACCGUCCAAGUCUCCCAUCAUCAGACAAAUUUAUAAUCAAAACUGACCACUUUCCCCGCUAAACCUCCCGCCCCUCCCCAGUUGGGGGCAGGGAUUUACAUUGACUGGUGCAUAACUAGAUGAUUGCAUGAAAGUUGAUUUACGUAUAAUUAGUUUAUGAAUAAAGUGUUAUUUUCCGCUGGCUGAGGCAUGAAAGAAGUGGAAAAUGUUUUUUCACACACUGCUGGGGGCCUGAUGAAAUCAGGAAAGGUGGUGCAGGUUAUUUGAGCAUAUUUUUGUUGUUGCUCAGCGUGGCUUGACAGUAUCCCACCCACCCCAGCCCUUUUAUGUUUAUUAGUAGAGAGUAGAGGAACAGAACGGUUUUGGACUGGGUAUAUUAUGUACUUGUUAUAGUAAUUAUGUAGCGAGCAAUUGUAAUGUAUGGUAGUUUAAUAAAUGUCAAGCUUGCGGCUGACGCUGCAACAGCUCCCAG